UUGUAGAAAGAUAAGUUCAAUUGUAAUUACUGUUUUCUCUAGUGAAAUACUUCUUAGCUUCCUUUCUUCUCUCUUAAUUUUUCUCUGAAUCCUUGAUUUCUCUGUUUCUUGAUUCUCUAUUGUGAGUGUUAAUAUGGUAUUGAGAGCCAGUAUCGCUUGCGUGGCUGAUGCUGGAUUCUUCUUAUGCUGUUAACUUCACUGGAAAAGAGACAAGGUAACAGGGGUGAUACUUCAUCAAGGAAAGAGUAGCAAUAAUGAACUGUUCAAAGUUCCUGUAUAUAUUUUUCCUACAUUGUUGAAUAAAGGUGGUUUGUCUUUUGCUUUCUUGGGGCAUGCAGUGAGGAGUACCCUGUGGCAUCAAAGGCUUGGGCACCCUUCUAAUAAGGUGUUGACUACUAUGCUAAGAGAUUCUAAAAAUUCUUGUAUUACAGAUGAUCAUGUGAAAGUUUGUACACAUUGUCUAGAUGGAAAGAUGAGUAUGAUUCAUUUUCCUGAGUGAUUAGAUAAGAUUGAGGUUCAUUUUCAUAA